rnacentral:rRNA from 1 species
UCUAACCUACGGGGCGCAGCAGUGGGGAAUAUUGGGCAAUGGGCGCAAGCCUGACCCAGCAACGCCGCGUGAAGGAAGAAGGCUUUCGGGUUGUAAACUUCUUUUCUGAGGGACGAAGAAAGUGACGGUACCUCAGGAAUAAGCCACGGCUAACUACGUGCCAGCAGCCGCGGUAAUACGUAGGUGGCAAGCGUUAUCCGGAUUUAUUGGGUGUAAAGGGCGUGUAGGCGGGAAUGCAAGUCAGAUGUGAAAACU